rnacentral:tRNA from 1 species
GGUAGCUCAGCGGUAGAGCAGGUGGCUGUUAACCACUUUGUCGCAGGUUCGAAUCCUGCCC